AAAGAAAUGGUGUUCAAGAAAAAGCUGCUAACUUUUUACUUUAAUGGUUAAACUCCAUUUAUUUCUUUA